rnacentral:misc_RNA from 1 species
GCGGCCGCAACUAUCUGUGCUGGAAUCUGGCAAGUAAUCUGCUGAUCAAAACUGAUAGCUGGAAUAGUUUCAUGUUCGUUCAGUGGUGUACACAGCUUCACCGAUAGCCUUGCGUGAUUGAGUUCCCGGAGAUGGAUGUGAAACCGGUGCUUCUCGUCAUUGCAUGGAUGCUAGCCUCUGCAGCUUGCAAUCCCAAACAACGCCUGGUUGCUGAUUUGUUUCGAACUUACGACAAACGUGUUGAACCCUUUGGUCCUAACACCACCCUGGAUGUGAGGAUGGACCUCAUGCUUGCAGAGAUAUCUGGUAUCGACGAGAAAAAGCAAGUGCUAACUACAAACUGCUGGAUAUCUUUGAGAUGGAAGGAUGCAUCGUUAGCAUGGCAACCAGAAAAACAUAAGAACGUAACAGAGAUCCGUGUCCCAGCUGACGCCAUAUGGACGCCUGACAUGAGACUUAAAAACUCAGCCGAAGGUAAUCAAAUAUCGCCAAGCGGAAUAAACAACGCCAUUCUGAGGUCAAGUGGAAACGUAUUGGUGUCCUACCAGGUCAUCUUGAAGACGUCGUGUCAAAUCGACGUUGCAUCCUUUCCCAUGGACCGACAAGAAUGCCGGAUGAUGUUCGAGUCGUUGACAUACAAUGGCGAUCAACUGAAUAUCUCAAAUGGUGAACGAGGGGAAGCAUCCUUAUCUGAAUACAUUUCCAAUGCAGAAUGGGAUCUGAUCUCAUAUACAAAGUCCCGGCAGGUCCUGUAUUACACAUGUUGCCCGGAGCCAUACCUUUCAUUAACGUACACAAUGACCCUGAGACGACGGCCCCUGUUCUUCCUGAUGUACCUCAUGGUGCCCUGCCUCAUCAUCACGUUGGUGGCUCUGCUGGGACUCCUGGUGCCGAACGAAUCUGGAGAGAAAAUAUCUAUUGGAAUCACUUCUCUUCUGUCAAUGAUAGCGUUGUUGCUUGUUCUUUCAACAUUGCUACCACCGACGUCGCUUGCGAUUCCUCUAAUUGGUCGGUACUUCGCGAUCAACAUCGUCAUCGUGUCUCUGAGUAUUGGUCUGGCCGUGUUCACUCUGAAUAUCCAUCACCGAGGGGCGAGAGGACACAGACUCCCGAGGCUUGUGAAAACUGUGUGCUUUAAUAUUCUUGCGAGGAUCCUCUUCAUCAAAAUAGACCCGCCAGAGUCCACCGACGAGAACAUGGUCCUAAUUCGUGCUGAUGACGAGGCCAUGGAUGCAGACAAACCAGGACCCACCAUGACGGAGGGUCAGCCCGGUGGAGGGAAUAACGUGGUGGGUGUUCUCAACCGACUGCUCCACACGGUAGAGAAGGCCACGGAUCUACACAAGAGGAGGAUCACAUCACAAGACAGUCUUGCCGAGGCUACAUAUGAAUGGAAACAGCUGACCAUCGUUCUCGAACGCGCUCUGACGAUCAUAUUUCUCAUUGUCACACUUUGUACGACUUGUGUAAUGUUCUCAUAGACUCAGUGGUAGCCCAGUGGUUAAAGUGUUUGCUAGACAGACAGUAGGCCUAGCUUCUAUUUGUAUAAGGGUAUAAUCAGAUUUUUUUUUCUCUGUAGAACCAACGGGUAGCCUUGUGGUUUAAGUGUUCGCUCAUAAGGCCGCACGCCUUGCUUCUAUUCCACAUAUGGAUAUUGUAUCUACUAUGAUCUUGUACUCUCCAGAGCCUGGAGAUUAAAGCGUUCGUUCAUCAGGUCACAUUCCAAGUUCCCACAUGUAUCACAUGUUUGACAGUCUCGGUGGCGUGAGAACUGUUACGUGUUUAUUCCAACGUUGAGACUAACACAGUACAUAACCGGGAAUCAGCCUGUACUCGGUGUGACACCAACGUUGAGACUAACACAGUACAUAACCGGGAAUCAGCCUGUACUCUGUGUGACACCAACGAACCACUAAAUGAUGGGAUGUAAUUAGCAAUUAUAUUCUAAAAUAAACUCAGCUUACAAAUCACCACAAAGGGAUUACAGUGGCAGUACAGAAUGACUGGCAAAUUCAAAAGCAGUGAUUACAGCAAUACAGACAGAGUGUAAUAUUCACCUCAUAGCAGCAAUGAUGGAGUUUCCAAACUUAGGCCCAUGCUGAGUAUUUAGGGUAAGAAUUUCUCCGCACAAGUGCUAGUCUUAGCUGCCCAUAUGUCCCAAAGAAAAGAACACCAGAAGAUUCUCCUUCUACCUGGUCAGAAUAUAGUGAAAGGCUUAUAUAGUUGGAGUACCGUGUAGUACCUUCCUCAAGUUUGUCUAUAUAUAGCACAAGUCUAAAUAAAGCACGCCACUGCCUCUCACUGACUAUCCACACUUAGAACUCAACCUACUUUUUAAACCAAUCAAAGGUUCCCAUUUCCCUGUGUCAAUAGGCUCUGAAUGAUUAAGAACUCGGCAUUCAGCGGCCAUUUAGCAAGCUGCCGAUUGGUCAAAAGAUACACAUAAACAAUGUUUUCAUGUUUUAUUGACGUGAGGUCCACGUGACUGCCACAGUCUUGCCGAAGGUGUCUUUGUAACGCCGAUACGAUCUGUGUCAAUGUGUUAGGGGGAUACGGCGAUUUGUCCUUUCUCCGUAUUUCAAGAAUGAAACGUUGCAUGCAGAAAUCAAGGUCGCGGUUAUUCAACGCAGAAAUAUCCCCUGGAAUUACACCAAAUUCUAAGAGAGUUGAAGCAUGCUGACUUCGGUACUACACCCAGUCUUUCUAAACAUUUAGUGCCCACUGGUUGUUUUGUCGCAUUUUCUUCGCAUCCUUUUGUUCUUGUUAGAUAUUAUAGGAUGAUACAGGUGGGGCAAAACGACCGUCACUUUCCUCAUGUUAUACAAAAUCUUGAGAUGGAAUAGACAGCAACUGGGCUAGACUUGCAGUUUGUGUACAUUCAAAGUCAGUAUUGUUGAAAAGUUCGUCAAACAGCAAAUCAGAAUUCGCGAAAUCGGACUGCUCGUCCAUGGCUCUCCACUUCAGAGCGCACAUUUGAAUUUGUGAGGUAAAGAAAUUACGUAGCAUAUGACCUUCCUAGUGACCGCACUUCAUAACUGUCGAUCAAAAGUAGGUGGAGUUCUAAGUCAGUUAGAAUCUAUGUAGAGAAAUCUUAGUGGCUUCGCCCCUUCUUAAUCACUAAGAUUUCUCUACAUAGAUUCUAACUACUACGUAGAAUUGUUACACAUGGAACAUUGUUGCACAAUGAAUAACACAACCACAUAACAAAAGGAGAGACCCGGAUGCAGCCGUCUUGUGAAUAGGUGGUAACUCUUGGUCUAGCACUUCUUGAACAAUCUUGGGUUAGAAUUGAGGCGGUAGCCGCGGCACCGAUUCCAUGACUCAGGUUGAAAUGACCUUCAACUGCAAACUGGGACUUUCCAGUUUCAAGACGUCCUGUGGCAAUGCUGCCAGUAGCCAAAUUCAGUCUCGACAUUUUCCACUUCCAGUUGUCCUCAAGAAACGUAACUAUGACGACAUGCUGAAGGACAUUUGACAUGGUUGACACAGCUUGCAGGAGCCUUCUGCUUUUAAUUGCUUUAGAAAGCUACGACAUUUUGAAAAAGAUGUAGUUGUGCAGUUCGUCGGGAAACGAACAACUGGUUAACAUCGUUCAAACAGGAUUUCUGUUUAUUUAUUUAUUAUCUCAUUUGUAUUGGAUUUUUAAUGAAGAUAGGUCAGACAAUAUCAGUAUAGCCCUGUAUAUUGUGUUGUGUGGCAGUAAAUUCUUGAAAACAUAUUGGUAGUGAAUAAAACGUCAGAUAAUAUCGGUAUAUCUCUGUAUGUUGUGUUAUGUGAUAGUUAAUUGUUUUAACAUAUUGGUAGUGAUUAAUACGUCAGACAAUAUCGGUAUAAAUCUGCAUGUUGUGUUAUGUGAUAGUUAAUUGUUUUAACAUAUUGGUAGUGAAUAAUACGUCAGACAAUAUCGGUAUAUCUCUGCAUGUUGUGUUAUGUGAUAGUUAAUUGUUUUAACAUAUUGGUAGUGAAUACUACGUCAGACAAUAUCGGUAUAUCUCUGCAUGUUGUGUUAUGUGAUAGUUAAUUGUUUUAACAUAUUGGUAGUGAAUACUACGUCAGACAAUAUCGGUAUAUCUCUGCAUGUUGUGUUAUGUGAUAGUUAAUUGUUUUAACAUAUUGGUAGUGAAUACUACGUCAGACAAUAUCGGUAUAUCUCUGCAUGUUGUGUUAUGUGAUAGUUAAUUGUUUUAACAUAUUGGUAGUGAAUAAUACGUCAGGCAAUAUCAGUAUAACCCUAAAUGUUGUGUUAAAAGACAUUUAAUUGUUGUAAACAUUGGUACUGAUUGUCAAUGACGGUAAAUGAUUGACUUGUUGUUGGCUAGUAAAAUGUCUACUGUUGCCCACA